AGCUGUUGAAUCUGAGGAGCAGGUGGAAAUUGAAGAGAUUUCAGUACCCAGUAACAAAGAAGCUAGAAAAGCUGAAGAAGAAGAGGAGAUGCAUGAGCCUGACAUGGAUGUCGUAGAGGAAGGGGAAGAAGACGUGUUUGAUACCAGGCCGCUUUAGUACUUUCAAGUUUCCAAGAGCCAAAAACAUUGCCAUUAGUAUGGAGACCGCGAGGGCUAGAGAAAAACUAAAAAAUUUCAAGGAAAAGGAGAAAAAUAAUUCUAGUAAUCAAUACAUACUGUCUAUGGUAACAUCUUAGUCUUUAAUUUCUUUUUCUUAGAUUUAAUGUUAUCAAUACUCAGUAACUUUGCUUUCUGAACUUAUCAUUGUAUGGUAACAAGAUAUAGUUGGAGUGGAACAUAUUGCGCUAUAUCUGAGUGGGCGUGUAAUUUCUUUUUCUUAGAUUUAAUGUUAACAAUACUCAGUAGCUUUGUUGUCUGAACUUAUCAUUGUAUGGUAACAAGGUAUAGUUGAAGUAGAACAUAUUGAGCUAUAUCUGAG